rnacentral:rRNA from 1 species
GAGUGAACGCUGGCGGUAGGCCUAGCACAUGCAAGUCGAACGGCAGCACAGUAAGAGCUUGCUCUUACGGGUGGCGAGUGGCGGACGGGUGAGGAAUACAUCGGAAUCUACUUUUUCGUGGGGGAUAACGUAGGGAAACUUACGCUAAUACCGCAUACGACCUACGGGUGAAAGCAGGGGAUCUUCGGACCUUGCGCGAUUGAAUGAGCCGAUGUCGGAUUAGCUAGUUGGCGGGGUAAAGGCCCACCAAGGCGACGAUCCGUAGCUGGUCUGAGAGGAUGAUCAGCCACACUGGAACUGAGACACGGUCCAGACUCCUACGGGAGGCAGCAGUGGGGAAUAUUGGACAAUGGGCGCAAGCCUGAUCCAGCCAUACCGCGUGGGUGAAGAAGGCCUUCGGGUUGUAAAGCCCUUUUGUUGGGAAAGAAAAGCAGCAGGUUAAUACCCCGCUGUUCUGACGGUACCCAAAGAAUAAGCACCGGCUAACUUCGUG